rnacentral:rRNA from 1 species
CCUACGGGUGGCAGCAGUGGGGGAUAUUGGACGAUGGGGGGAACCCUGAUCCAGCGACGCCGCGUGAUUGAAGAAGGCCUUCGGGUUGUAAAGAUCUUUAAUCGGGGACGAAUUUUGACGGUACCCGAAGAAUAAGCUCCGGCUAACUACGUGCCAGCAGCCGCGGUAAUACGUAGGGAGCAAGCGUUAUCCGGAUUUACUGGGUGUAAAGGGCGUGUAGGCGGGCAUGCAAGCCAGAAGUGAAAUCUGGGGGCUUAACCCCCAAACUGCUUUUGGAACUGCGUGUCUUGAGUGAUGGAGAGGCAGGCGGAAUUCCCAGUGUAGCGGUGAAAUGCGUAGAUAUUGGGAGAAACACCAGUGGCGAAGGCGGCCUGCUGGACAUUAACUGACGCUCAUGCACGAAAGCGUGGGUAUCGAACAGGAUUAGAUACCCUUGUAGUC